rnacentral:rRNA from 1 species
UACGGGGGGAGCAAGCGUUGUUCGGAUUUACUGGGCGUAAAGGGCGCGUAGGCGGCCACCGCAAGUCAGUUGUGAAAUCUCUGGGCUUAACCCAGAACGGUCAGCUGAUACUGCGGGGCUAGAGUGCAGAAGGGGCAACUGGAAUUCUCGGUGUAGCGGUGAAAUGCGUAGAUAUCGGGAGGAACACCAGUGGCGAAGGCGACUUCCUGGCCUGUUCUUGACGCUGAGGCGCGAAAGCUAGGGUAGCAAACGGG